rnacentral:rRNA from 1 species
GACGAACGCUGGCGGCGUGCUUAACACAUGCAAGUCGAACGGAAAGGCCCUGCUUUUGUGGGGUGCUCGAGUGGCGAACGGGGGAGUAACACGUGAGUAACCUGCCCUUGACUUUGGGAUAACUUCAGGAAACUGGGGCUAAUACCGGAUAGGAGCUCCUGCUGCAUGGUGGGGGUUGGAAAGUUUCGGCGGUUGGGGCUGGACUCGCGGCUUAUCAGCUUGUUGGUGGGGUAGUGGCUUACGAAGGCUUUGACGGGUAGCCGGCCUGGGAGGGUGACCGGCCACAUUGGGCCUGAGAUACGGACCAGACUCCUACGGGAGGCAGCAGUGGGGAGUAUGGCGCAAUGGGCGGAAGCCUGAUGCAGCAACGCUGCGUGCGGGAUGACGGCCUUCGGGUUGUAAACCGCUUUCGCCUGUGACGAAGCGUGAGUGACGGUAAUGGGUAAAGAAGCACCGGCUAACUACGUG